GGCUGUGAGGUCGUCUGCUAAUAGUCCUGUCUGAGCUGCUAGGCCCCGCAGCUAACAGGCUAAUUAAGCACAAAGCAGCGCUAACGAGGGCCGGCGCUUCAUUAAAGCACAGAUCUGAUGAAUUAACGGUGAAGCAGAGUUCGUUAACGCCUCGUUUGAUUAAUUAAAGCCAGUGAUGACAGGAAGUGACUUUAAAUGAUGAUGAAGGAACGAAGGAAGUGAGGACGGAGUUAAGACGUGAGGACGGGGGAAGUUAAAGGAGGGUGGACGAUAAAAAUGAAGAGGAGAUGAAGAAGAACCAACAGUUCUGGAGAACGACUGCUUCAGGAACAAAUGGAGAAAAAAUGAGUCAACGUUUUGUUUCUAAGUGGGAAAUUCCAAAUGUUGACGAAGUGUUGAGGAGAUCAAUGUCCUUGAUGGACACCAGGGGGCAGAAGUUCAAAAGGUUACAUGGUAGCAUGACUUUGAUGUCACUUCUGUUGUCGUCGUUAACUUCAGAUCUGACUUGGAUUUUUUCAUUUUUCUCUUUUGUCCUUCAGGCAAAUGAAAACUCCGCUGCCAACCCAGUGAUGUCAUCGCAGCGCUCGCCAACAUUCGUCCUCCCUCUGCUCCUGAGGCCGCGUUUCAGAAAUCGUCUCACACCAGUUCUGAGCGAGGGAAGGCACGCCAGGCUAACAGGUGGUAAACAGCUGGAGGAGUCACUGCAGAACCAGAUCCUGGGUCUGGGUCUGGGUCUGGUUCUGGGUCUGUGCUGAACAAAGAACAAUCCCAGAAACAAACAUAAGGGUCGUGUUCCGACCUGACACCGGUCUUAAACACCACUCUCUCUGUGACCCUGUGACCCUGUGACC